rnacentral:rRNA from 1 species
AGAGUUUGAUCCUGGCUCAGAACGAACGCUGGCGGCAUGCCUAAUACAUGCAAGUCGAACGAGAAAGUCUCUUCGGAGGCGAGUACAGUGGCGCACGGGUGAGUAACACGUAGGUGACCUGCCCUUUGGCGUGGGACAACUCUAGGAAACUGGAGCUAAUACCGCAUAAGUUUAAUAAUUUUGGAAGAAAUUAAAGAAAGAGGGCCAAUACUUGUAAGCUCUCGCCGAAGGAUGGGCCUGCGGGCCAUUAGCUUGAUGGUGGGGUAAAGGCCUACCAUGGCGAUGAUGGUUAGCUGGUCUGAGAGGAUGAUCAGUCACACUGGAACUGAGAUACGGUCCAGACUCCUACGGGAGGCAGCAGUAGGGAAUAUUGCGCAAUGGGCGAAAGCCUGACGCAGCAAUGCCGCAUGAGUGAGGGAGGCCUUCGGGUUGUAAAGCUCUGUCAGGAGGGAAAAACAGCAUUUAGGUUAAUACCCUGAUUGUUUGAUGGUACCUCAAAAGGAAGCACCGGCUAACUCCGUGCCAGCAGCCGCGGUAAUACGGAGGGUGCGAGCGUUGUUCGGAUUUAUUGGGCGUAAAGCGCGUGCAGGCGGAAAAUCAAGUUAGGUGUGAAAUCUCGGGGCUUAACCUCGAAACUGCGCCUAAAACUGGUUAUCUAGAAUCUCGGAGAGGGAAGAGGAAUUUCAUGUGUAGGGGUAAAAUCCGUAGAGAUAUGAAGGAACACCGGAGGCGAAGGCGUCUUCCUGGACGAGUAUUGACGCUGAGGCGCGAAAGCGUGGGGAGCAAACAGGAUUAGAUACCCUGGUAGUCCACGCGGUAAACAAUGAGCACUAGAAACGGGAGGUAUUGACCCCUUCUGUUUCGGAGCAAACGCAUUAAGUGCUCCGCCUGGGGAGUACGGUCGCAAGACUAAAACUCAAAGGAAUUGACGGGGGCCCGCACAAGCGGUGGAUCAUGUGGUUUAAUUCGAAACCACGCGAAUAACCUUACCUGGGUUUGAAAUCCCACGAACCUGCUAGAGAUAGUGGGGUGCUCUUCGGAGAAUGUGGAGACAGGUGCUGCAUGGCUGUCGUCAGCUCGUGUUGUGAAGUGUUGGGUUAAGUCUCGCAACGAGCGCAACCCCUAUCCUUAGUUGCCAGCAUUAAGUUGGGCACUUUAAGGAGACUGCCUGGGUUAACCAGGAGGAAGGUGGGGAUGACGUCAAGUCCUCAUGGCCCUUAUGUCCAGGGCUACACACGUGAUACAAUGGACGAUACAGAGGGAAGCGAACUCGCGAGGGGAAGCAAAUCUCAAAAAGUCGUUCUCAGUACGGAUUGGAGUCUGCAACUCGACUCCAUGGAGUUGGAAUCGCUAGUAAUCGCGGAUCAUCAUGCCGCGGUGAAUACGUUCCCGGGCCUUGUACACACCGCCCGUCACACCAUGGGAGUUGGCCCAACCUUAAGUCGUGGCCCUAACUAGCUUGCUAGAGGGGAGCGCCUACGGUCGGACCGAUGACUGGGGUGAAGUCGUAACAAGGUA